GACGAACGCUGGCGGCGUGCUUAACACAUGCAAGUCGAACGAGUGGCGAACGGGUGAGUAACACGUGGGUGAUCUGCCUUGCACUUCGGGAUAGGCUGGGGAAACUGGGUCUAAUACCGGAUAGUGCAAGAUGUGCGGGGGGCCUAUCAGCUUGUUGGUGGGGUAAUGGCUACAAAGGCGCGACGGGUAGCCGGCCUGAGAGGGUGUACGGCCACAUUGGGACUGAGAUACGGACCAGAAUCCUACGGGAGGCAGUAGUGGGGAAUAUUGCACAAUGGGCGGAAGCGUGAGGCAGCGACGCCGCGUGGGGGAUGAAGGCCUUCGGGUUGUAAACUACUUUCGACAGGGACGCGGUACCUGUAUAAGAAGCACCGGCUAACUACGUGCCAGCAGCCGCGGUAAUAC
rnacentral:rRNA from 1 species